AACGCGAAGAACCUUACCUACCCUUGACAUGUACGGAAGCUCAUCGAGAGGUGGGCGUGCCCGAAAGGGAGCCGUAACACAGGUGCUGCAUGGCUGUCGUCAGCUCGUGUCGUGAGAUGUUGGGUUAAGUCCCGCAACGAGCGCAACCCUUGUCCCUAGUUGCUACGCAAGGGCACUCUAGGGAGACUGCCGGUGACAAACCGGAGGAAGGUGGGGAUGACGUCAAGUCCUCAUGGCCCUUAUGGGUAGGGCCUCACACGUCAUACAAUGGCCGGUACAGAGGGUUGCCAAAGCGCGAGCUGGAGCCAAUCCCAGAAAGCCGGUCGUAGUCCGGAUUGCAGUCUGCAACUCGACUGCAUGAAGUCGGAAUCGCUAGUAAUCGCGGAUCAGCAUGUCGCGGUGAAUACGUUCCCGGGCCUUGUA
rnacentral:rRNA from 1 species